rnacentral:rRNA from 1 species
CAGCCGCCACGGUAAUACGUAGGCAGCAAGCGUUGUUCGGAGUUACUGGGCGUAAAGGGUGUGUAGGCGGUUGUUUAAGUUUGGUGUGAAAUCUCCCGGCUCAACUGGGAGGGUGCGCCGAAUACUGAAUGACUAGAGUAUGGGAUGGGAGAGUAGAAUUCCUGGUGUAGCGGUGAAAUGCGUAGAUAUCAGGAGGAACACCGGUGGUGUAGACGGCUCUCUGGACCAUUACUGACGCUGAGACACGAAAGCGUGGGUAGCAAACAGGAUUAGAUACCCCGGUAGUCCCUGUCUCUUAUAC